rnacentral:rRNA from 1 species
UACGAAGGGGCGUAGCGUUGCUCGGAAUCACUGGGCGUAAAGCGCACGUAGGCGGAUUGCUAAGUCAGGGGUGAAAUCCUGGAGCUCAACUCCAGAACUGCCUUUGAUACUGGCAACCUUGAGUCCGGGAGAGGUGAGUGGAACUGCGAGUGUAGAGGUGAAAUUCGUAGAUAUUCGCAAGAACACCAGUGGCGAAGGCGGCUCACUGGCCCGGUACUGACGCUGAGGUGCGAAAGCGUGGGGAGCAACAGG